CCUUCGGGGCCUCGCGCCUAGAGAGGAGCCUGCGGCGGAUUAGGUAGUUGGUGAGGUAAUGGCUCACCAAGCCUGCGAUCUGUAGCCGGCCUGAGAGGGCGGUCGGCCACACUGACACUGACAUACGGGUCAGACUCCUACGGGAGGCAGCAGUCGGGAAUUUUGGGCAAUGGGCGCAAGCCUGACCCAGCAACGCCGCGUGGAGGAUGAAGUUUUUCGGAAUGUAAACUCCAUAAGAAUGGGAAGAAUAAGCAGGGACUAAUACCCCCUGUGGUGACGGUACCAUUUGUAAGCUCCGGCUAACUCCGUGCCAGCAGCCGCGGUAAUACGGGGGGAGCAAGCGUUGUUCGGAUUUACUGGGCGUAAAGGGCGCGUAGGCGGCCACGACAAGUCAGUUGUGAAAUCUCUGGGCCCAACUCAGAGCGGCCAACUGAUACUGUCGGGCUAGAGUGCGGAAGGGGCAACUGGAAUUCUCGGUGUAGCGGUGAAAUGCGUAGAUAUCGAGAGGAACACCUGCGGCGAAGGCGGGUUGCUGGGCCGACACUGACGCUGAGGCGCGAAAGCCAGGGGAGCGAACG
rnacentral:rRNA from 1 species